rnacentral:lncRNA from 1 species
UUACCACCGACCAGUCCUCAGCCGGCAACAUGAAGCUGGGUGGCCUCUGCCUCCUGCUCCUCCUCGCCGUCCUUCUCACCCUCAAUGCAGAGUUCCAAGCAGUUGAUGUAGGUAUCUGUGUGACGGAGUGCAAGGUAGACCAGGACUGUGGGGCAGGAAGACGAUGCACCAGCAAUGGAUGUGGCCGGGUCUGCUCCCCAGUCCGGCGAAGAGAGGCCUGCGAGCACCAGUGCAGAGAAGACAGGGACUGUGGGAGUGGACAUCAGUGCGUGAGGAAGGGCUGUGGGCACGUCUGCGCCCCCGUCCAUCAAGUCGAUGUAGGUAUCUGUGUGAUGGAGUGCCGUGUAGACCAGGACUGUGGGGAAGGAAGACUAUGCAUCAGUAAUGGGUGUGGCCGUGUCUGCUUCCCAGUCCGGCGAAGAGAGGCCUGCGAGCACCAGUGCAGAGAAGACAGGGACUGUGGGAGUGGACAUCAGUGCGUGAGGAAGGGCUGUGGGCACGUCUGCGCCCCCGUCCAUCAAGUCGAUGUAGGUAUCUGUGUGACGGAGUGCCGUGUAGACCAGGACUGUGGGGAAGGAAGACUAUGCAUCAGUAAUGGGUGUGGCCGUGUCUGCUUCCCAGGGCGAAGAGAGGCCUGCGAGCACCAGUGCAGAGAAGACAGGGACUGUGGGAGUGGACAUCAGUGCGUGAGGAAGGGCUGUGGGCACGUCUGCGCCCCCGUCCAUCAAGUCGGUAUCUGUGUGACGGAGUGCAACGUAGACCAGGACUGUGGGGAAGGAAGACAAUGCACCAGCAAUGGGUGUGGCCGUGUCUGCUCCCCAGUCCAGCAAGAAGAUGUAGGUAUCUGUGUGAUGGAGUGCAAGGUAGACCAGGACUGUGGGGAAGGAAGAAGAUGCACCAGCAAUGGGUGUGGCCGUGUCUGCUCCCCAGUCCAGCAAAAAGAGGCCUGCGAGCACCAGUGCAGAGAAGACAGGGACUGUGGGAGUGGACAUCAGUGCGUGAGGAAGGGCUGUGGGCACGUCUGCGCCCCCGUCCAUCAAGUCGAUGUAGGUAUCUGUGUGACGGAGUGCCGUGUAGACCAGGACUGUGGGGAAGGAAGACAAUGCACCAGCAAUGGAUGUGGCCGUGUCUGCUCCCCAGCCCAGCAAAGAGAGGCCUGCGAGCACCAAUGCAGAGAAGACAAGGACUGUGGGAGUGGACAUCAGUGCGUGAGGAAGGGCUGUGGGCACGUCUGCUCCCCCAUCCCUCAAGUAGGUAUCUGUGUGACGGAGUGCAAUGUAGACCAGGACUGUGGGGCAGGAAGACGAUGCACCAGCAAUGGAUGUGGCCGUGUCUGCUCCCC